AGGAUGAACGCUGGCGGCGUGCUUAACACAUGCAAGUCGAACGAUGAAGGCUGGAGCUUGCUCUGGCUGGAUUAGUGGCGAACGGGUGAGUAACACGUGAGUAACCUGCCCCAGACUCUGGGAUAAGCGCUGGAAACGGCGUCUAAUACCGGAUACGAGCUUCCACCGCAUGGUGAGGAGCUGGAAAGAAUUUCGGCCUGGGAUGGACUCGCGGCCUAUCAGCUUGUUGGUGA
rnacentral:rRNA from 1 species